rnacentral:lncRNA from 1 species
UGGCACUCCGUGGAGACGCUAGCACCCGACGGCGCGCAGGAGGCCGACUACGUCGCCUGCUGACUCGUCUGUGGACUCUAUGAAAGCCUACUGUGGUAGAGGCAUUCACCUCUUGUCAACCGCGUGUGGUGCAGCGGCGGCACUCCAGCAAUCUCGACGCUGUCGGGAAGUUUGCCGCUGCUUCGGGGUGCGAUUGAGGCGACGCGGCUCGAAACCAUUACGAUCAAUAUAAUUAACUUUAGUUCGUU